rnacentral:misc_RNA from 1 species
GAGAAGAACGUAGCGAAAUGCGAUACGUAAUGUGAAUUGCAAAUUCAGUGAAUCAUCGAGUCUUUGAACGCACAUUGCGCCCCCUGGUAUUCCGGGGGGCAUGCCUGUCCGAGCGUCAUUGCUGCCCUCAAGCCCGGCUUGUGUGUUGGGCCCCGUCCCCCGAUCUCCGGGGGACGGGCCCGAAAGGCAGCGGCGGCACCGCGUCCGGUCCUCGAGCGUAUGGGGCUUUGUCACCCGCUCUGUAGGCCCGGCCGGCGCUUGCCGAUCAACCCAAAUUUUUAUCCAGGUUGACCUCGCAUCAGGUAGGGAUACCCGCUGAACUUAAGCAUAUCAAUAAGCGGAGGA